CCUACGGGUGGCAGCAGUGGGGAAUAUUGCACAAUGGGGGAAACCCUGAUGCAGCGACGCCGCGUGAGUGAAGAAGUAUUUCGUUAUGUAAAGCUCCAUCAGCAGGGAAGAACAUGACGGUACCUGAUUAAGAAGCCCCGGCUAACUACGUACCAGCAGCCGAGGUAAUACGUAGGGGGCAAGCGUUAUCCGGAUUUACUGGGUGUAAAGGGUCCGUAGACGGCAGCACAAGUCUGGCGUGAAAUGCCGGGGCUUAACCCCGGAACUGCUUUGGAAACUGUGUAGCUAGAGUGCAGGAGAGGUAAGUGGAAUUCCGAGUGUAGCGGUGAAAUGCGUAGAUAUUAGGAGGAACACCAAUGGCGAAGGCGGCUUACUGGACUGUAACUGACGUUGAGGCUCGAAAGCGUGGGGAGCAAACAGGAUUAGAUACCCUUGUAGUC
rnacentral:rRNA from 1 species